UCGGACAUGGUGUACGGUACACGCCCUCGUUUGUUGUGAGUAUGGUCGCGAGAUGCAAGAGGGAAUCCGGGGUUCAACUCCCCGUGUCCGAA